CCCCUCCCUGCAAAACGUUUACUUUAAACUCAGAACUCUUUCACCUUUAUGAUACACUUUAAUUUCUAUUAUUUAGAGGAGGUUGUGAGAUAUCUACUCUAAUAUGAAUCAUUGAACUUCUUCCAUGUGGAAACAUUUCCUAUUCCCCCCAGUGUAAGCAGAAUAUUUACACUGACAAGAUCAUUUGCAUUAACAGAACUUUAACCUUCUCUGGUCUUUAUAACCUUGUCAGUUUAGUGUUUCAUACAAGAGCAACAUUUAAUGACAGUAGAGCUGACAACAGCUAUGUUUUCCAUCAUUCCCAUCUGCAUACUGGCUAUUGGUAUUCAAGGCUCAAAUGGACAAGUGACAGUGACUCAGACUCCUCAAGUCCUAACUUCUCAACGUGAUGAAACGGUCAAAAUAAACUGCAAAACCAACUCACCGGUUGCUGACUGUACUCUCUGGAGGAACUGCAUGUUCUGGUACCAGCACAAACCUGGAGAGGCUCCCAAACUCCUCAUUUAUUACAUACACCAGCGCCCCUCAAACAUCCCAUCUAGAUUCAGCGGCAAUGGCGCUCACACUGACUUCACUCUGACCAUCAGUGGAGUCCAGAAAGAAGACGAAGCACAAUAUUACUGUAUGACCCGACACAAGAUUGACAACAAGUAUGUGUUCACACAGUGAUAAAGGGUUGUACAAAAACCUCCCUCAGUCUCAU